AUACGGAGGGUGCGAGCGUUAAUCGGAAUUACUGGGCGUAAAGGGUGCGUAGGCGGCUUGAUAAGUCGGAUGUGAAAGCCCCGGGCUUAACCUGGGAAUUGCAUUCGAUACUGUCAGGCUAGAGUAUGUCAGAGGUUGGCGGAAUUCCUGGUGUAGCGGUGAAAUGCGUAGAUAUCAGGAGGAACACCAGUGGCGAAGGCGGCUAACCGGGACAAUACUGACGCUGAGGCACGAAAGCGUGGGGAGCAAACAGGAUUAGAUACCCGAGUAGUCC
rnacentral:rRNA from 1 species